GUCCAGGUUAAGACAUAGCACAAUGCAACACCCAUGAAAUCACUGUCAAUUCAGCUUUUUUUUUAUUAAAGAUUAAAAAUUAAAAAAAAACCAACACUUGAUUUGAUACCCUAAUAUACAUAAAGUCACCAUGAACUCAAGUGUGCUAAAAGCAAAACGUGAAUCGAGAUGCUCACUUCUGCAGGCACCCCACCAUCAGUCCCGGCUGUGUGUGCAGUGCUCCAGCAGCUCCUGCUGCUCCUCCUUCCCUGAAGGCAAGGGCCGGGCUGCUGCCAGGCACAGCUGCUCCAUCAGCCCCGAGCAGGGCUCCUGCUGUCACCACAACACAACCGCCGUGCGCAGACUGAGCCUCUCCUGGAGUCACCCAGCAGGAUCUAAACCGCACGAGGGCUUCUUCUUAAGAGAGCAAGGUAGUGAGUGUUAUCUGGGCCGCUUACAGGGGCCGAGAGGAUGAGGCAGGGUUAAGAGACCACAGCUGCGCAUCCAAAGAGCUUUGCUACUAAAAAACCUCCCUCCUCCCCAUCCCGUCCCCCCACUCUCAUACAAACAACCCCAGCUACAAAAAGCCACACGCGCACCGUCCACGCGCCGACGCGGGUCUCGUUCGGCCGUGAGCCCAUCGGGGCGCCGGGAGCGCCGUGUUCCAAUCCCGAGGCACCGCCCCGCCGCUCGCGGCGUUACCACGGCCUCCACAUGGACUUGGGCGAGCCGGGCGAGGGCACGGCGCGCGUCUGCGCCGCCUCCAGUCCGUGGGCGGGGGUCUGUACCGGCUCGGCCUCCGCCUCGUCCGAGUCGGAGCACGUCUCCUCACCGGACGACGGCGAGGGCAGCGCCAGGCCCAGGGCCGCCUCAGCCAGCGGGAGCGCGGCGUCGCCGCCCGGCCAGGGCUCGGCCAGAACGUCCGCCAUCAAGUCCCGCAGGCCGCCCUCGCUGAGCGGCAUGGACUCCAGCAGGUGGUUGAGCAGCUCGGCCGCCGUGGUGGCGUCGAUGCCGGGGCAGCCGGAGACGAAGGUGUGCACCUCGUGCAUGCACUGGAUGUAGCCGGCGGCGAAGCGCUCGCUGGCCUCGCGGUGCAGCCGCCCGCCCUCGAGCGCGCGGCGCUCCAGCACGGCCUGCCCCCGCCGCACCGUCAGCUCCAGCACCUCCGCGUUCUCCAGCUUCGCCUCGCCGCCGGCCAGCAGCCGCCGCAGCUCCCGCAGGCUCUCGUUGAUCCGCGCCCUCCGCUUCUUCUCCACCAGCGGCUUCCGCGCCCUCCUGUCCGCGCCGCCCGAACCGCCCCGCGGCGCGCGGCCCUUGCCGUGCCGGAAGGACGGCGCCAUCCCGCCGCGCUCCUCCGCGGCCCCGCGCCGCUCCCCGCCCCGCGCCGCCCGUCUUAUAGCCGCCGCUUUGCAUCGCCGGCAGCCCAUUGGCCGCGCCGCGCGGGCAGCGCCGGAGCGUGGGCCGAACGGCCCAAUGGCGGCCGCGCGCUUUGUCUGCUGCGGGGCCGUGCGGGUGGGCGCUGCGUCGCGGUGUGCCGUGCGGCGCGGCGCUGUGCGGUGCUGUGCGUCGGUGCCCGGGGCUCCUGCGGCGGGCUGCGCCCCCGGCCCCUCCCUGCGCAGCCCCGGCCCCAGUCCCGGCCCCGCCGGCGGCCGCUCCGGCCGGGUGUGAGCAGCGGCGCCGACGCGAUUGAGUCCCGUUUUGGGACGGGUGCUCGGCCGCCGUCCGAGCGCUGCGGCUGCGCCCCGCGCUGGGUGCCCCCCCGCCUCGGCCGUGCCCGUGCGGGAACGGAAGAGCGGAGCGCCCGCUGCGGGCGGCGGUCCCUGCGGCCGGAGGCUGCCGGCCGCUCGGCGCUCCGAGCCUUUUGUCUUCGCCCGGCCGAAGCCGCCCCGUGGCGCAGCCGCCGCCCCGAACCCCGCCGCGCCCCGCGAGCCGUCCUCGAGCCGCGCGUGCCGGGAUGGCGGCCGCAGCCCGCGCUGGCGGUGCCGGGGCUGCCGUACCCGGACCGCGUGGUCCCCCCGCCGCUCCCCAGCGCCGGCCGAGGCCCCGGCUUUGUGCCGUAACUUGAUGCUGAUGACAGUUGGCAGCUGCAGUUCCCCCAACAGACCGAACCGAAUGAAAGCGUCGGGGCUCGUCCCUGAGGAGAGCGACAGGUGUUCGCUCCCGCUCCUUUGUUUCCCUCUUUUCAUUCUCCUCGCUAAUGUGUGUCA
rnacentral:lncRNA from 1 species